AACAGACGAGGAGCUUGCUCCUCUGACGUUAGCGGCGGACGGGUGAGUAACACGUGGAUAACCUACCUAUAAGACUGGGAUAACUUCGGGAAACCGGAGCUAAUACCGGAUAAUAUAUUGAACCGCAUGGUUCAAUAGUGAAAGACGGUUUUGCUGUCACUUAUAGAUGGAUCCGCGCCGCAUUAGCUAGUUGGUAAGGUAACGGCUUACCAAGGCAACGAUGCGUAGCCGACCUGAGAGGGUGAUCGGCCACACUGGAACUGAGACACGGUCCAGACUCCUACGGGAGGCAGCAGUAGGGAAUCUUCCGCAAUGGGCGAAAGCCUGACGGAGCAACGCCGCGUGAGUGAUGAAGGUCUUCGGAUCGUAAAACUCUGUUAUUAGGGAAGAACAAAUGUGUAAGUAACUAUGCACGUCUUGACGGUACCUAAUCAGAAAGCCACGGCUAACUACGUGCCAGCAGCCGCGGUAAUACGUAGGUGGCAAGCGUUAUCCGGAAUUAUUGGGCGUAAAGCGCGCGUAGGCGGUUUUUUAAGUCUGAUGUGAAAGCCCACGGCUCAACCGUGGAGGGUCAUUGGAAACUGGAAAACUUGAGUGCAGAAGAGGAAAGUGGAAUUCCAUGUGUAGCGGUGAAAUGCGCAGAGAUAUGGAGGAACACCAGUGGCGAAGGCGACUUUCUGGUCUGUAACUGACGCUGAUGUGCGAAAG
rnacentral:rRNA from 1 species